rnacentral:rRNA from 1 species
UCCCAGACUCCUACGGGAGGCAGCAGUGGGGAAUAUUGGGCAAUGGACGCAAGUCUGACCCAGCAACGCCGCGUGAAGGAAGAAGGCUUUCGGGUUGUAAACUUCUUUUAAGGGGGAAGAGCAGAAGACGGUACCCCUUGAAUAAGCCACGGCUAACUACGCGCCAGCAGCCGCGGUAAUACGUAUGGUGCAAGCGUUAUCCGGAUUUACUGGGUGUAAAGGGAGCGCAGGCGGCACGGCAAGCCUGAUGUGAAAGCCCGCGGCCCAACCGCGGGACUGCAUUGGGAACUACCGGGCUGGAGUGCCGGAGAGGUAGGCGGAAUUCCUAGUGUAGCGGUGAAAUGCGUAGAUAUUAGGAGGAACACCAGUGGCGAAGGCGGCUUACUGGACGGUAACUGACGUUGAGGCUCGAAAGCGUGGGGAGCGAACAGGAUUAGAUACCCCAGUA